GAAUGCAAAUUAUUUCUUAAUAGCCUGGUUUGGUAUGGGGACACACCCCCUUGACAACCAGCUGAAUCAUCUGUAUCCAUACAAUCCCCUCAUUUCCAGUCCUUGGAAUUCAUGGGAAAUUCCAGAUUUAAUAAAUGUACCUUUUACUUCAAACAGUAGCUCGAUCUUACAUCGUGUAAACAAACAUCAUGGCUGCUAGAUCUGUAAAUCAGUUAUUACCUCCCCUUGUUUCAUAUCACUUCCGUUACUAAGGAUGUAUUAUUGCUUUUUUAUAAUCCGCUUUGUGGAUUCUAAAGCGUAAACUGACCCAAACCAGGUUAUCAUCAAAUAGUUUGGCCAAGAAUUAGAGUCAUUCCUUAAUUAAACCAUACUACAUGUAUAACAUUAGUCUUUUAAGACAUUGAAGCUAUACAGAAAUAUUUACUCAUUGUACUGAGUUUAUUUUGACAGGUCUCCCAGGAUGUGCUGUUUAACUAUGUAAAGCUAAAGAAGAUGAAGAAACCACCAUUUUGACAGGUCUCCCAGGAUGUGCUGAUUAACUAUGUAAAGCUAAAGAAGAAGAAAAAAUCACCAUUUUGACAGGUCUCCAGGAUGUGCUGUUUAAGUAUGUAUAUCUAAAGAAGUGGAAGAAAUCACCAUUCUGACAGGUCUCCCAGAAUGUGCUGUUUAAGGAUGUAAAUCUAAAGAAAAGGAAGAAAUCACCAUUUUAACAGGUCUCCCAGGAUGUGCUGUUUAACUAUGUAAAGCUAAAGAAGAAGAAAAAAUCACCAUUUUGACAGGUCUCCCAGGAUGUGCUGUUAAACUAUGUAAAGCCAAAGAAAAGGAAGAAAUCACCAUUUUGACAGGUUUAACUAAUGCCUAAAUUUAGUUUUUUAGCUCACCUGAGCUGAAGGCUCAAGUGAGCUUUUCUGUUCAUAUUUUGUCAUGCGUCCGUCAGUUUGUCUAGCUGUCUGUCUGUAAACUUUUCACAUUAUCAACUUCUUCUCAAGAACCGCUGGGCCAAUUUCAACCAAACUUGCCACAAAGCAUUCCUGGGUGAAGGGGAUUUAAAUUUCUUGAAAUGAAGGGCCAUGCCCUCAUUCAAGGGGUGAUAAUUGGGAAUUAAGGAAAAUUUGGUGGGAUUUUUUAAAAAUCUUUUUCUUAUUUAAGAACCACUUUGCCAGAAAAGAUGAAACUUAUGAGGAAACAUUCUCAGGUAGUGUAGAUUCAAGUUUGU